rnacentral:sRNA from 1 species
GCACAACAACCACUUCCACAUCAGAUGCUUCACCUGUCAAGUAUGUGGCUGUGGCCUGGCCCAGUCAGGCUUCUUCUUCAAGAACCAGGAGUACAUCUGCACCCAGGACUACCAGCAACUCUAUGGCACCCGCUGUGACAGCUGCCGGGACUUCAUCACAGGCGAAGUCAUCUCGGCCCUGGGCCGCACUUACCACCCCAAGUGCUUUGUGUGCAGCUUGUGCAGGAAGCCUUUCCCCAUUGGAGACAAGGUGACCUUCAGCGGUAAAGAAUGUGUGUGCCAAACGUGCUCCCAGUCCAUGGCCAGCAGUAAGCCCAUCAAGAUUCGUGGACCAAGCCGUGAGUCCUCCCCACGGGUAUCUCCCUGUCCAUGGGUGUGAUCUCUCUGGGCUCCCCUUUCCCACACUGCCAACUGCUCCCACGGGCCUGGAGGGAAGUGGGAAAGGUUCCCAACCUGGAGGCCUCCUGCAUCAUGACCCCGUUGGCAUGUGGCCCAGACUCACAAGCUUCACAAGCACAAUGCAGGGAAG